AAUAUUCUGGCUUAGGGACUCUUCCAGAUAUCUAUUGCUGCAUAACUGAUCACGGCAAAACCCAGUGGCUAAAAGCAACCACAGGGUCUUCUGAGAUCUUUAUCUGAAGAAGAAGAACAAAAUGUUCACAUUCAGUUAGUUUCACCUUAUCUCAUGAAUCUUCUCUUUGGGCAGAGCUCCGCAGGGAAGAUUAAUUUCUGUCAUUUGUGCCAUCAGUUGGGGCAGCUUGCCUGGGCCUGAAGAAGCCACAUCCAAAAUGUCUCCCUUAUAUGGUUGAUGCAUAAGACACAGGAUACCAUGUUAUUAUUUCUCAUUUGGAGUUUGUCCUAUAUGUGCAAAAUGGUGGAGGAACUUCACAUCUCAACUAUUUACCCAAGAAAUACCCCAGAUUUUAUUUUAUCUGUCGACCCAUCUUCAGCUAGUGCUUUAAUUGACUCCUACCGGUUUUGGGUUACCUGAAAUCCUCUGACUAGCAGCAAUCUGGACUGCUUGGUCAGUGCACUGAAUAAAUUUAGGUGGUAUUACCCACCACAUCUUCAUCUAAUGAGAAGAUGACACCUCUUCAUUCUCACCUAACAAAAGAAUAGCAGUUUAAGUUACUAUGAAGUGAAUCUGGAUGUAACACCUGAAGUGACUUCCAGAGGUAACUCUGGCCUUGAGACUCUGUAACUUUUUUUUUUUUCAGAUUUAUUAGCUUAUUUGAGAGAGAGAGAGAUAGAGACAGAGAUUGAGAAUGAGAAAGCAAGGGGAAGGGCAGAGACAGAGGGAGAGGGAGAACCUCCAGCAGACCCCCCACCUGAGCAUGGAGACCACCUGGGACUCAACAUUAUGACCCUGAGAUCCUGGCCUGAGCUGAAAACAAGAGCCGGACACUUAAUGGACUGAGCCACCCAGGCGCUUUGAGACUCUGCAACUUUUGAGUAACUUGCUCAGCAACAGAGGUCGUGGCAGGGCUGCUAAUGGCCCAUAUAAUUUUGUUGCAUAUACAAAUUAUAGUUGUUUAU